rnacentral:rRNA from 1 species
AGAGUUUGAUCCUGGCUCAGAUUGAACGCUGGCGGCAUGCCUUACACAUGCAAGUCGAACGGCAGCACGGGGGCAACCCUGGUGGCGAGUGGCGAACGGGUGAGUAAUACAUCGGAACGUGUCCUGUAGUGGGGGAUAGCCCGGCGAAAGCCGGAUUAAUACCGCAUACGCUCUACGGAGGAAAGGGGGGGAUCUUAGGACCUCCCGCUACAGGGGCGGCCGAUGGCAGAUUAGCUAGUUGGUGGGGUAAAGGCCUACCAAGGCGACGAUCUGUAGCUGGUCUGAGAGGACGACCAGCCACACUGGGACUGAGACACGGCCCAGACUCCUACGGGAGGCAGCAGUGGGGAAUUUUGGACAAUGGGGGCAACCCUGAUCCAGCAAUGCCGCGUGUGUGAAGAAGGCCUUCGGGUUGUAAAGCACUUUUGUCCGGAAAGAAAACGCCGUGGUUAAUACCCGUGGCGGAUGACG